rnacentral:rRNA from 1 species
GACGAACGCUGGCGGCGUGCCUAAUACAUGCAAGUCGAACGCAGUGGGGACGGGUGAGUAACACGUGGGUAACCUCCCAUCAGAGGGGAUAACACUUGGAAACAGGUGCUAAACUGAUAUUGAUGGAUGGACCCGCGGUGCAUUGGCUAGUUGGUGAGGUAACGGCUCACCAAGGCUACGAUGCAUAGCCGGCCUGAGAGGGUGACCGGCCACACUGGAACUGAGACACGGCCCAGACUCCUACGGGAGGCAGCAGUAGGGAAUCUUCGACAAUGGGCGAAAGUCUGACCGAGCAACGCCGCGUGAGUGAAGAAGGUUUUCGGAUCGUAAAGUACUUUUAUUAGAGAAGCGGUAUCUAACCAGAAAGCCACGGCUAACUACGUGCCAGCAGCCGCGGUAAUAC